ACGCACGCUGGCGGCGUGCUUCACCCAUGCCAGUCGCACGCUGAAGCACCAGCUUGCUGGUGUGGAUGAGUGGCGAACGGGUGAGUAAUACGUGAGUAACCUGCCCUUGACUCUGGGAUAAGCCCGGGAAACUGGGUCUAAUACUGGAUGCUACAUGUCACCGCAUGGUGGUGUGUGGAAAGGGUUUACUGGUCUUGGAUGGGCUCACGGCCUAUCAGCUUGUUGGUGAGGUAAUGGCUCACCAAGGCGACGACGGGUAGCCGGCCUGAGAGGGUGACCGGCCACACUGGGACUGAGACACGGCCCAGACUCCUACGGGAGGCAGCAGUGGGGAAUAUUGCACAAUGGGCGAAAGCCUGAUGCAGCGACGCCGCGUGAGGGAUGACGGCCUUCGGGUUGUAAACCUCGUUCAGCAGGGAAGAAGCCACAAGUGACGGUACCUGCAGAAGAAGCGCCGGCUAACUACGUG
rnacentral:rRNA from 1 species